rnacentral:rRNA from 1 species
CCUUUGACGUUAGCGGCGGACGGGUGAGUAACACGUGGGUAACCUACCUAUAAGACUGGAAUAACUCCGGGAAACCGGGGCUAAUGCCGGAUAACAUAUAGAACCGCAUGGUUCUAUAGUGAAAGAUGGUUUUGCUAUCACUUAUAGAUGGACCCGCGCCGUAUUAGCUAGUUGGUAAGGUAAUGGCUUACCAAGGCGACGAUACGUAGCCGACCUGAGAGGGUGAUCGGCCACACUGGAACUGAGACACGGUCCAGACUCCUACGGGAGGCAGCAGUAGGGAAUCUUCCGCAAUGGGCGAAAGCCUGACGGAGCAACGCCGCGUGAGUGAUGAAGGGUUUCGGCUCGUAAAACUCUGUUAUUAGGGAAGAACAUAUGUGUAAGUAACUGUGCACAUCUUGACGGUACCUAAUCAGAAAGCCACGGCUAACUACGUGCCAGCAGCCGCGGUAAUACGUAGGUGGCAAGCGUUAUCCGGAAUUAUUGGGCGUAAAGCGCGCG